AUUGAAUAUACAUUAUAUUUCGGUGCCCAUCAUUUCUAUAGAUUUACAGCAGCUGCAACCUACAAAAGCAUUGUUAUCCUUCGUGGAAUUUGUCGAUUACUGUAUUGUGUAUUAUUUCCAAAUUAUGGCUUCUCUAUCGCAAACAAUAGAACCAUCUCUGCAGCACACUGAUUUCGAUUAACAGGUUUUGUACUGGUAUGUGACCUCAAUAUUUUUCCCUUUUAUUUUGGUCUUAUCUUUAAAUAUCACAAAGUCAUGGAUCGAUUUUUAUUGAUGCGAUAUCAAUGUGAUUUAAAUAUAUUAGAACGUGACUUCAUUUAGCAGUUAUUGGGAAAUAAUUUUACUACCCAAAUUACAAUCACAGAUUGUGUAAUGUUGAUGUUUAAACAAUUUUGCAUAUAACUGUGAUAAUCACAUUUUUGCUACUGGCUACAUGAUUUGAAAAUUCAAGUGAAGUGUUUUUUACCUCAUUUUGUUGGUUAAUUUUGACGAUAAGUGCUUUAGUAACAAAGUUACGAAUUUCGUAAUAUUAAUAUGUUGUUACUGGUCACAAUUAUUCCCUGUAUGAUUUCCUAAAUUCGAUGAACUGAUUUUGACCUCUGCCUGCUCUCCAUUUUAAUUUUAAAUUUACUUGUCACAAGUGAUGUGUUAUUAAUGUGAUUUGAAUAUAAUAGACUAUGUUUUUGUUAUCACAACAAAAUUUGGCGUUCAAAUUUGCUGCUAACUGCAUCAGUCACAAAGUGACAGAUUGUGCUGUGUUGAUGUCUUAGCAUUAGUCAUAAUUAUUGUCUGCUUUGUUCAAAUUUUGGUGAACUAGUUGUGACCUCAAUUAGCUGUUCAUUCCGAUCUUAGCUUUACAUGUCACAAGUUCACAUGGUGUUUCCUUUUAGAUGUAUCAGCUAGAAAGUUGAUUGUUUGACUAAUCCUUUACCUUUUGGAGAUUUUUUACAAUUAUGGAGUACGUUCAUGUGUGUCUGUUUACGGAGGCAAUACAUCUUUAGUUUUAGUACAAGAUAACUGAAGAUAUAUUGAACUUUUUGAAAUUAUAACGUCCGAAUUGGUUUUGUAUUCUAUGAAAGUCUCAGUUAGAAAAAAGUAUGUGUUGAAUAAAAUGUUGCCUAAUGUCAGGUUGCCUCAGAGUGAAUGCAGAUCCUUUUAGUUACAUUCUGUACAUUAACAUUUUUACUGUAGAAACUUUACAUAAUUUGCGAUAGAAUUCCAGACAUGGAGGCAAAUCUAAUUACAGUACAAUCAUCUGGAGGAUUGUUUUUGUUGCAAAACAGAGCAAGUAGAAUAUGCGGAGUAGCAUUUGAUGUAGUAAAAUAGAAUUUUGAUACAAUGAACAAUUGUAUCUAUUAUGGAUCUAAGAGAAAUAUUUGAUGGUUAGGUCUUUUACAAUAAAGGAGGACUAAAAAUAAGCUUCGCGUUCUAUAUAAUCCAAAAUAUGUUUUUGUGAUUGUGCGGUCUAGGAAGAAGAAUCCGUUGUCCAGUGUUCACAACUUGAUUGCAAAUAACAUUCAAAAUCAUCAAUAUUGGGGAAACGGAAAUGUUUAAGAUUAAAAAGACGGGUGGGUUGGUCAUACAUAUUCAACAAAUAUUGUGUUGGGAUGUCAUGAACAAGCGUCCAGUUUCAUUAUAUUCAGUUGUAUCAAGAAUAAGUAUACAUCUCAUGGACUAUAUGCACUCCCAAUUACAUAUCAGAUGACAUCUUACAUACAUAUGGAGUGGUUGUUAAUCAAAGUCUUGGAGAUCUCGUGAACAAACAUUGAAGAUGAUUCGAGGUGAUCCAAUCGAACCAUUGAAGAGAUUAUUGUGUUAGUUUUUCAUGCCUCAACAAGCAACCUGGAUCGAUCACAAAAAUAGUCGCGAAUGGAAAAAAUAGAUUAAACAUUGCUUAAUGACUCUUGGUGCAUCGAUUAGUGGAGUUCUGGUGUCAUGUUGAUGUCUCAGCACUGGUUAUAGUUACUGGUUGCUUAAUUUUCAAAUUCUGGUGAAAUGAUUGUGACCUCGAUUUGCUGUUUAUUUUGAUCUAACAUUUACAUGUCACAUGGUCAUAGGUUGUGUAUAAUUGACGUGUUAUCAAUGUUUAUUUAUUUAUUUAUUUUUUAAGAUACUUUUAUGUUCCAUUGUUUAUAGAGAAUAUAUUAUUGUAUGUUCGCAGGUAUGCCCUACUAAUCACACCUUGCUUGAAGCAAGGGCGAAAUUCAUCAUACUUAGUUGAUAUCAACUGCCAUUGUCCCCACAAGUUAG
rnacentral:lncRNA from 1 species